rnacentral:rRNA from 1 species
GAUGAACGCUGACGGCAUGCUUAACACAUGCAAGUCGACUUGAACUUCGGUUUGGGUGGCGGACGGGUGAGUAACGCGUAAAGAACUUGCCUCACAGCUAGGCACAACAUUUGGAAACGAAUGCUAAUACCUGAUAUUAUGAUUAUAUGGCAUCGUAUCUUUAUGAAAUCUAUUUGCGCUGUAAGAGAGCUUUGCGUCCCAUUAGCUAGUUGGAGAGGUAACAGCUCAUCAAGGCGAUGAUGGGUAGCCGGCCUGAGAGGGUGAUCGGCCACAAGGGGACUGAGACACGGCCCUUACUCCUACGGGAGGCAGCAGUGGGGAAUAUUUGACGCAGGACCGAGGGUCUGAUGCAGCAAUUCUGUGUGCACGAUGAAGUUUUUCGGAAUGAAGAAUGCUUUCAGUUGGGAAGAAAAAAAUGACGGUACCAACAGAAGAAGUGACGGCUAAAUACGUG